AGAACUUGGCUUGGUGCUCCCUCACUGUGCGCUCCGCAUCACGCACCACAUUAAGGUCUGGGAGAACUUGGCUUGGUGCUCCCUCACUGCGCUCCGCCUCACGCACCACAUUAAGGUCUGGGAGAACUUGGCUUGGUGCUCCCUCACUGUGCGCUCCGCAUCACGCACCACAUUAAGGUCUGGGAGAACUUGGCUUGGUGCUCCCUCACUGUGCGCUCCGCAUCACGCACCACAUUAAGGUCUGGGAGAACUUGGCUUGGUGCUCCCUCACUGUGCGCUCCGCAUCACGCACCACAUUAAGGUCUGGGAGAACUUGGCUUGGUGCUCCCUCACUGUGCGCUCCGCAUCACGCACCACAUUAAGGUCUGGGAGAACAUGGCUUGGUGCUCCCUCACUGUGCGCUCCGCAGCUCGCACCACAUUAAGGUCUGGGAAACCCAUCACUGGGUGAACCUACAUGAACGAGGGUAUAUUUCUGACAUUAUGAAAUGAUACGAAUAACGUUUUGCUUCAUGUACAUAACAAGGCACGAAAAAAGAUUUUUAUUUGCUGCUACAUCAUGUAAUCUAUUUAGCCCAUUAUAAAUUAAUCUCAGAAAUGU